UACGAAGGGGGCGAGCGUUGUUCGGAUUUACUGGGCGUAAAGGGCGCGUAGGCGGCCCUCCUAGUCGCGUGUGAAAGCCCCGGGCUUAACCUGGGAAUUGCGCUUGAAACUAGCGGGCUUGAGUGUGGCAGAGGGGGGUGGAAUUCCACGUGUAGCAGUGAAAUGCGUAGAGAUGUGGAGGAACACCGAUGGCGAAGGCAGCCCCCUGGGUCAACACUGACGCUCAUGCACGAAAGCGUGGGGAGCAAACAGG
rnacentral:rRNA from 1 species